ACUAAAAAUUUGAAUUUUUAUUAAUAUCUUAAACAAAAACAAAAAAUUAACUAAGAAAACCAAUUAAUCUAAAAGUAAUUAAGAUAACUAAACAAAAUUUAGCUAAUUCCUAAUUGAUGACAAGCAAACUAAAGAAAUAACUAAGUCCUAAUCUAGUUGUUGUACUUCCUUGGGCGUCCUCUUCCCCUCCAGGCUUUUGAAGGUCUCGCAUCCUUCCUUAGGUGUCCACCCCUUCGCUUUCAUCAUCACUCUCACUAUAUUCAUUAGAAAUUUCUUCCUCCUUUGAAGAGGUUUAAAUCAAUGAGGUACCUCUAUUGGUGUCUUCUUUCAGAAUGCUCAACUUUCACAAUUUUCUUAAGAGUGAGAAAUCUUUCUACGGAUCUAGUAUAAACUCUUCGAUAGGCAUAAAAAGCAGUAAGCUCUUCAGGCUUAAAGUCUUGUUAUGUUCUAGCCUCCUCUUUUGGCACUAAUGUUUAGGGAAUGAUAGUGGAGGGAAUGAUGUGGGAAAGGGUGUAGGUGCUCCUCUUCUAAUUUCUUUUUCUUAGAAGCUUUUCUUGAGCUAGAUGUCAUGGAUGGUGUUGUAGGACAAGGUGGUUGUGAUGGAGGUGGGGAAGAACUUACCUCUUACUUCACACUUGUUUCCCUAGAAUUCAUGAUGUAUAAAAAGCUAGGGAAUGAGAAAAUAUUUUUCGAAU
rnacentral:lncRNA from 1 species